CAGAAGUACUUCCCCCAUCAGUGCAGUCUGAGGAACAGUGCAGUCUAAGCAGUGUGAGAAUCACCCCUUUGGCCUGAGCAUUGGUAGAGGGGUCAGCUUCAUCUACUGGAAAAGGAAGUUAGGAGGCUCAGAGGGCACACAUCUGGAGAACAUCCCGUGGAAAACUUGUGAAUGGGUAAGUAAUCUCUUUCAGAACCAAGACAAGGAGUGGUAAUUUAUGACUUAACAGACUGC
rnacentral:lncRNA from 1 species